AUGCUCAAGGGGUGGCAUGAUCUUGAUAAUUAUGUUGAUGGUCCUACCAGAUCUCUUUCUGUAUCCUGUCAGGAACAUUGGGCUACAUGGUGGAAUCACCAAAUGGCACAGUGUUGGUGUACUCCUUGCAGAUGUCAGUUACACUUAAUGAUAACGUACAAGGUGAUCUCAUGGAUGCUGCAGAAAGAGGGGUUAGAAGAGUGCAACUGGAUGCCAGAACUCGUCUUUGCAGAUGAUUUGGUGGUGACACAAGUGAAUGGUAGUGAGACAACUGAAUGGGAAGAGGGACAGAGAAGAUUACAUCCCAUAUUGGAGUACCUGCUUUCAAGUCUAAGCUUCACUCCUGGUUCCAGUUCCCUGCCAGUGCACACCCUGGAAGGCAGCAGGUGGGACACGUAGCUGAGUCUUUGCAUUCCACUGACCUCCUCCCCACAUACAUCUUAUAGUUUAUCUUGUAAAGGACCAUUUUGCUCGUUAGCAUCAUUUAGCAAUCAUAUUCAAUUCCAUGAUUAAAGAAAAUCCCCAGAUAUUGUUAUUUUUCCCCAGUGGUUAAGGUUUUCCCUUUAUAGUCAUUUCCCUUUAUAAGUCAUUCUUUCCUGAUGACAUCUUCCAAAAAGCUGUAUCACAGGUAUAGCCUAGGAAUUCUGUAGGCAAAAAUUUCACCUCCUAAUGACUCCUCUCCAUCUCUUCCAGGCCUUCUGUUCUUGAUAGGCAGUCCCUUCCAUUGAUCUGCUAUCAACUAUUCCAUUGAUUGGCUGUGCUAUGUCAGAUAUGUUUCUCCCAAUAAACUAGUAGAGUCUUCAUAUCCA
rnacentral:lncRNA from 1 species